GAGCAGUGACGAAACUGUGUUCGAUGUGGUAGAUGGGUCUAUCUCACUCUUCUGAUCUUUCAGACGAAUAGUAACACCUCAGAGCUC
rfam:Vigna angularis cultivar Jingnong 6 chromosome 7, whole genome shotgun sequence.